GCACUACUGAGGAGUUCAACAAUAGGACGAAACGGUUGUCUAGUGC
rnacentral:hammerhead_ribozyme from 1 species